CUUCGUUUGGCAUCAGAACUGCACUCUCUUCAACGUCCAAUAUCAUUUUUACUCUCACACAUUGCACAAUCAAGUUUAUCAUUUUGCUUUAAAUCCCCAGUUUAGUGUUAGUUUAACUCGGCUACAAUAGAGUUGAUUAAUGAUUGGUUCCUUGAUUGUUUAAAUUACUUUUGUAGGUUGCAUGGUAGCGGGGAGUCAAUGGCUGUACUGCCUAUUGAAGGUGGUGGUGGUUCUAGAAGAAGAAACUCUAUUAUCUUGGCAUUUAAAGAUGCAAAGAUUUCAGUUCUGGAUUUUGAUGAUUCGGUACAUGGACUCCGCACUAGGUUCAAAAGCCAGUGAAUCAAGUUCUUGCAUCACUUGUCAAUCAAGAAGUUGGCCAUCAGAUUGAGAGUCAUAAUUUAAGUUAUGAUGAACAGCAUCGAACUUAUAAUGUAAAAGAAUUUGAGGUUCGGAUCUUGGAACCAGAGAGACCUGGUGGCCCUUGGCAAACUAAGGCUACAAUCCCAAUGCAAAGUUCUGAAAGUGCACUUGCUGUGCGAGUGGUUAAAUUGUUUAAUACAACCACAAAGGAGAAUGAAACACUUUUAGCUAUUGAGACUGCUUAUGUGCAAGGGGAGGAUGUUGCAGCAAGAGGGCGUGUGCUUCUGUUUUCUGUUGUGAAAAAUCCAGAUAAUUCCCAAGUUUUGGUACUUUUCGGAUUGUUCAGUCCUUUGCUCUCAAAAGUCAAAUCCUUUUCAUUUUUUCCUUAAACCCAACUACCCAAGCACUGUAAAAGUUUCAACAUUUCCUCAAAUAUUUCUUCUUUGUUCUUUCUAAUAGUUUUAUGUUUCAGUAUUAAUUCCGUCACUUUGAUUUACAGGCUUCAGAAGUCUAUUCUAAGGAAGUGAA